rnacentral:rRNA from 1 species
GUGGGGAAUUUUGGACAAUGGGCGCAAGCCUGAUCCAGCAAUGCCGCGUGCAGGAAGAAGGCCUUCGGGUUGUAAACUGCUUUUGUACGGAACGAAACGGUCCUGGUUAAUACCUGGGGCUAAUGACGGUACCGUAAGAAUAAGCACCGGCUAACUACGUGCCAGCAGCCGCGGUAAUACGUAGGGUGCGAGCGUUAAUCGGAAUUACUGGGCGUAAAGCGUGCGCAGGCGGUGCUGUAAGACAGGCGUGAAAUCCCCGGGCUCAACCUGGGAAUUGCGCUUGUGACUGCAGUGCUGGAGUACGGCAGAGGGGGAUGGAAUUCCGCGUGUAGCAGUGAAAUGCGUAGAUAUGCGGAGGAACACCGAUGGCGAAGGCAAUCCCCUGGGCCUGCACUGACGCUCAUGCACGAAAGCGUGGGGAGCAAACAGGAUUAGAUACCCGGGUAGUCC